GCGACUAUAGCUCAACUGGAUAGAGUAGCUGUCUUCGAAACAGUUGGUUGGGGGUUCGAAUCCCUCUAGUCGCG
rnacentral:tRNA from 1 species